rnacentral:misc_RNA from 1 species
AACGCACCUUGCGCUCCUUGGUAUUCUGAGGAGCAUGCCUAUUUGAGUGUCAGUAAAUCCUCAAGUCCAUCAGCUUUUCUAGUUGGGGUGACUUGGAAAUGAAGAACCUGCGGGCCUUGUAUAAUAUAGGCUGGCUCCUCUGAAAUGCAUUAGCAGAAUGAUACUGGAAUUGCCACAGAGUGUGAUAACAUCUACACUAGUGGAUCGCCCAUAGUUGUUCAGCUUCUAACUGUCCCGCAAAGGUGACAACUAAUUACUGAAUGUGUGACCUCAAAUCAGGUAGGAUUACCCGCUGAACUUAA